GACGAACGCUGGCGGCGUGCUUAACACAUGCAAGUCGAACGGAAAGGCCCUGCUUGCAGGGUACUCGAGUGGCGAACGGGUGAGUAACACGUGGGUGAUCUGCCCUGCACUUCGGGAUAAGCUUGGGAAACUGGGUCUAAUACCGGAUAGGAACCAUCUUUAGUGUGGUGGUUGGAAAGUUUUUUCGGUGUAGGAUGAGCUCGCGGCCUAUCAGCUUGUUGGUGGGGUAAUGGCCUACCAAGGCGGCGACGGGUAGCCGGCCUGAGAGGGUGUACGGCCACAUUGGGACUGAGAUACGGCCCAGACUCCUACGGGAGGCAGCAGUGGGGAAUAUUGCACAAUGGGCGCGAGCCUGAUGCAGCGAGGCCGCGUGGGGGAUGAAGGCCUUCGGGUUGUAAACUCCUUUCGCUAGGGACGAAGCGUUGUUGUGACGGUACCUAGAUAAGAAGCACCGGCUAACUACGUG
rnacentral:rRNA from 1 species